UACGUAGGGAGCAAGCGUUGUCCGGAAUCAUUGGGCGUAAAGCGCGCGUAGGUGGCUUCGUAAGUCCGUUGUGAAAGUCAAAGGCUCAACCUUUGAAGGCCGAUGGAUACUGUGAAGCUAGAGUACGGAAGAGGCGAGUGGAAUUCCUGGUGUAGCGGUGGAAUGCGCAGAUAUCAGGAGGAACACCAAUAGCGAAGGCAGCUCGCUGGGACGUUACUGACACUGAGGCGCGAAAGCGUGGGGAGCGAACAGG
rnacentral:rRNA from 1 species